CAACUGGAUAAAAGCAUGAUAAAUUGUCGCAAAGAUCAUUUUCCAGCCAGGUGCAUUUUAGAGCACACGGUUGGAAAGAAAGGUUUGGAAAAAGAAGUCGACAUGUUUCUCACAACGGACCCUUGAUUUUGGACGCAAUUUUCAGUGACAGUGUCGAGAACACGAUUUGAAUACCUUUCCCAAAUUGAAUAUUCAUCAGGACAUUCCCGUGGCAGAUUGACCAAAGUAUUGUAAAAGAUAUUCUCAUCCAGCUUCAUCACACGGACAUUCCCGUGGCAGAUUGACCAAAGUAUUGUAAACAUAUUCUCACCCAGCUUCAUCACACGGGCAUUUGCGAGACGUUUUGAGACGACGAUUUGAAUGAAAGACAUUUCUUCUUUGGCCUUUGUUUCGUUAUAAUUUGAUUGAUUUAGAGGAUCUUUGUAUGUUUAUUAUAAAGUUGAAGGAUAAUUCAAGAUUUUGCAUCCUGCUCUCAAAUAGUUUCAGCGAUUGAUAGGACCCCUAUUUCAUAGAUUUUCAUACCCUACUUCCAAUUGGUUUUUUUACGAGGAUGUUUAUGAAACACACGGUUCUCUCAUUGUACUUUCACAGAGUUUGCCCCCUAUGCGUUAUAAACAUCUAUUAGAUUUUGCUUUAAAUGUGCUAUUUAACUUUGGAGGAUCCUCAACUCUAGCCAUUUAUUGUUACCAAUCUUGCAAUUGGUUUUUUACGAGGAUGUUGGUGAAAUACACGCCUCCCUCAUUGUGAUAUAUUUGAGGGUUUGCCUCAUAUAUUUUGAAAACAUCAGAUUUUAGAUUUUGCUUUAGUUAUGGAUUUUGUUUUGAAAAUUCUCCACUCUAGGGUUGGCUCACCAAUAGUAACUAUUAAUUGUUGUUGUUUUCAAAAUUAGCAAACAUUUUGAAAAUUAUUAUGAUGAUGAAGUAAAUAUUUGUUUUUCUGCUAGAAAUCUGCCAUUGAACACAAGUUAGGAUAGUCGAUAAUCAGUCAAGUUUUAUAGCAUGAUAAAAAGUCCUCAAAAAUGAAACAUUAGUGGAAGUGCUCAAAAAUGAAACAUUUGUGGAACUAUAUAUAUUCUCUUUCGGCAAUAUUUUAGACACAGGUAUUAAGUAAAAUUCAUAUAAAGAUUAAUUUAUUUUCAAAUUUGGUCGAGGGUGAAGAGGAAAUAGAUAAAUGACUUUGCUGGAUGCCUCUUCGUGAAAAUAUCGAAAUUUGAGCUUCUCCAUAUAAAAUGGAGGUCGGGGGCAACCAAAAAACAAGUCUAUUGCUUUACCAAAUUUGAAGGCCUCAUCCAUUGGUAUUAAAAUGUCAAAACGAGGCGGAAACGCCCGAGCUGAUAUUAACACACCACCUAGCAACAAUGAAAUCACGUGAUUUGAAUCAGAAAGGAAGAUUCUGUUAAAAGUAGCUAGAUAUAUGUGAACUGUACCAAAAAUAGCGUUAACAUGAUUUUCAUCUCGAAAAAUCAUCUUACCUAUAGACAAUUAAUUGACAAGGUCUUAGUAGUACAUUUAAGACGAAUGGAUGAUAGACCUACUUAUAAUGCGUACAGUAACAAGGUUCCCACAUUAAACGCAAUAAUUAGGCUAGGCUGACCAGCGUCGCAAUUCAAGAUGCCUGGGUAUUGUCAGAAAUUGUAGUAUGAAAGAACCAUUUCCACAACAUCAAACCUACUGUGCACGUGAAGAACGUUGAAGCUACCAAUAAACAUCGUUUAAUUGCCUAAAAAUAAACUACAGAAUGUUUGGAGCACACGGAAACAGCAAAGUCACACCUUUGAUAAUCUACUGAGUUAUUGAUUUAGACUUUAACUGCUCUCUCGCGCUUUUCCUUCACCAAUUUAGCAACCACCUUUUUUCUAAUAACAAAUUAUGUAAAAAAUCCUUCCCUAAUAAUGCAAUUUUUCAAUAAUGUCCUUUCGCCUCACAAUACAUAUAUACUGCUGUCUUCUGAGACCCAUUUCAAGUUUCUCUCAAAAUGGCAAACGAGCAGGCCCCAAUGGUGACUGCUCAAUCUCAUUCGAUUUAGUCCAUGUUCCAUAAAAAAUAUGUCAUAAGUUCCCACACUUUAUCUAAAUAGACUACAAUCCACUGAAAAGUUUCUACUGAAUGUUAUUGUAAAUAGACUACAAUCCUCCAUAAAGUGUUUACUUAAUGCUAUUGAUAUUUAUUAUUAUGGAAUGGAAGUAAACUAGCCUUUCUUGGCGACCCCGCCAAAGCGGGGUCUUGCAAGGCCCACCUGGCCUGAGUUUCCAUUCUUGACGACCCCGCCAAAGCGGGGUCUGGGUGGCCCGCCGGCCCGCGACAGCCCGAG